rnacentral:lncRNA from 10 species
UAUCACCAAGGCAAUGGAGUUACAAGGCAGGGCCUUUGGGAGGUGAUUAAUGUCCUUAAAAAAGAGGCUGCAGAGAACAUUUGUCUUUUUUUUUUUUUUUUUUUUUUUUUUUUUGCCUUUCCACUCUUCCACCUUGUGAGGACACAGCAACAAGCUGCCCUCUUGGAAGCAGAAAGCAGCUCUCACCAGACAUCAAAUCUGCCAGCACAUUGAUCUUGGACUUCCCACCCUUCAGAACUACUGUCUGCGAGGGAUGAGCCUGAGGUGUCAGCAUCUUCACAGGUCUUUUGAGCCUGCAUGCACAAAAGGGUCUACUGUCCCUGGCUACAUAACUGGAGCCUCAGCUCUUCACUGACUGUCCUCAGGUUCCAGGGGCCACCUGCAGUUCCUUGCCACAUGGAUUUCUCCAGCAUAGCUGUGUACUUCAUCAAGGCACAAGGAGAGUCUCCAGUCUACCAGAGCCCUAUGUAAUGUAACAUAAUCAACAAAGUGACGUCCCAUUCAUAUUCAAUUGGUCAGAAGCAAGUUACAGUCCCCACCCAGGUCAGAGGGAGGAGAUAUGACAAAGAAGUAAACAUCAGGAGGCUGGGACAAUGGGGAUACUUAAGGUCCAUCCUGCUACAACUUCCACAAUGGCGUCUUGACCAUGAGGGCUCCACAGACACUGAAGCGGUCACCCAGGCUGCAAGUCUUGGAGGCAUUCUCUAGGAAUCACAGUCCCAUUCUUCUGCAGGCAAACGGAGUCGCCAUAUGACCCAGUAAGUUUACUCUUAGGUACAUUCCCUAGAGAAAUAAAAAUAUAUGUCCGUGCAAAAACAUGUAUGUGAGUGUUCGUAGCAGUGUUAUUCAUAAUAGCCAAAAGGUGGAAACAAGCCAAAUGUUUGUCAACUGAUGAAUGGAGAAAUAAAAUGUGGUAUAACCAUACAAUGGAACAUUAAACAGGAAUAAAAAGAAAUGGAAUGCUGAGACAUGCAACAACAUGGAUGAACCUCAAGUACAUUAUGCUAAAAGAAAGAAGCCGGUCACAAAGGACCACAGCUUGCAUGAUUCCAUUUAUACAAAAUGUCCAGAAUAGGCAGAUCUACAGACUGGAAGUAGAACAGGGAUUGCCAAGGGCUGUGGGAAGGGAAAAGUGGGGAACAAUGCUAAUGGGUAAGAGCUUUCUUUAUGGGAUAAUAAAAUGUUCCAAAUUUAGAUUGUGGUGAUAGUUGCACAAUUCUGUGAAAAUACUAACAAUUUUUAAUGGGCGACUAUUAUGGCAUGUGAAUUAUAUCUCAGUAAAUCUUUUUUUAUUAAAAAACAAAAAAG